GAAGCCCUUCGGGGUGGAUUAGUGGCGAACGGGUGAGUAACACGUGGGCAAUCUGCCCUGCACUCUGGGACAAGCCCUGGAAACGGGGUCUAAUACCGGAUAUGACACACGACCGCAUGGUCUGUGUGUGGAAAGCUCCGGCGGUGCAGGAUGAGCCCGCGGCCUAUCAGCUUGUUGGUGGGGUAAUGGCCUACCAAGGCGACGACGGGUAGCCGGCCUGAGAGGGCGACCGGCCACACUGGGACUGAGACACGGCCCAGACUCCUACGGGAGGCAGCAGUGGGGAAUAUUGCACAAUGGGCGCAAGCCUGAUGCAGCGACGCCGCGUGAGGGAUGACGGCCUUCGGGUUGUAAACCUCUUUCAGCAGGGAAGAAGCGCAAGUGACGGUACCUGCAGAAGAAGCGCCGGCUAACUACGUGCCAGCAGCCGCGGUAAUACGUAGGGCGCAAGCGUUGUCCGGAAUUAUUGGGCGUAAAGAGCUCGUAGGCGGCUUGUCGCGUCGGAUGUGAAAGCCCGGGGCUUAACCCCGGGUCUGCAUUCGAUACGGGCAGGCUAGAGUUCGGUAGGGGAGAUCGGAAUUCCUGGUGUAGCGGUGAAAUGCGCAGAUAUCAGGAGGAACACCGG
rnacentral:rRNA from 1 species